UCCCUCAUGGUCCAGUGGCUAAGACUCUGCGCUCCCAGGGCAGGGAGCCCAAGUUCGAUCCCUGGUCAGGGAG
rfam:Ovis aries breed Texel chromosome 13, whole genome shotgun sequence.